rnacentral:rRNA from 1 species
AUUCCAGCUCCAAUAGCGUAUAUUAAAGUUGUUGCGGUUAAAAAGCUCGUAGUUGGAUUUCUGUUGAGGAAGUCCGGUCCGCACUUUGUGCGUGAUCUGGUUCUGCCUCGGCAUCCUCGCGGGGAACGCGCUGCGCUUGAUUGCGUGGUGCGGUAUUCGCGACUUUUACUUUGAGGAAAUUAGAGUGUUCACGGCAGGCUAUCGCCUUGAAUACGUUAGCAUGGAAUAAUAAUAUAGGACCUUGGUUCUAUUUUGUUGGUUUCUAGAACUAAGGUAAUGAUUAAUAGGGAUAAUUGGGGGCAUUUGUAUCAACACGUCAGAGGUGAAAUUCUUGGAUUGUGUUACGACAAACUACUGCGAAAGCAUUUGCCAAGGAUGUUUUCAUUA